ensembl:lncRNA
CUUGGAGAACACGUGCCAUUAUGAUAACUCAUCAUAGAUGUAUUGCAAUUGUAUAAAUAACCUCACUGAGGAGUUAAAAAGAAUCCCAGUGGCAUAGGCAGCUGGUCAGCUGGCUGCUGAAGGACAAAGGGAGAAUAUGCUGUUGGUGCACAACACGUCUGAUCUCAGAAGGCAAAAUCAGCUACAUUUAUCUAUUUGACAGUCCCUGCCAGGCUGACAUGGAAAUGUCUAUUUAUGCAUCUGAGGUGCCUCUCUCAGGAAACAUGAUCAACAUUUUCAUUUGCAUCCAGAAACAGAGCCUUGAAGGAAUACCGAGCACCUGGAACUGGAAAUCUCUCAGAGGUGAGCUAGCCACCUGGGAGGCAGACUUUAUGAAUCCACAUCUUCUGCGCUCAGAGCAGGACAGCACAAAAUAAAUCCCUCAAGGGAUACUUGAAAGAGCAGGAGUCACGUUGUUAAGUAUAGACCAGAACUGUAUUCAUCAUGGUUUUAUUAAUAACCUUUUGCUCUUAAUCUUUCACUUGGAUGUUUGCCCUUAAGUCUUGCUUAACGUAAUUUGGCAGUUUCACCCCUCAGCUAGUCUGGCGCUAUGGAGAGGCAAGAUGAAACAGAUUGAAAGCAACAAGCUUUUGGUGGAAAAUGAAGGCAAAGAAGGAUACACAGUGUCUUAAGAGAUAAGUGUCUCCCGUGACAGGGUCAGAGAAGAUCAGAGCUUGCAAAUAUUUUCCUCCUAUGUUCAAAGAGUUGCUGGGGGAUGCACAGGAAGAGGAGACUUUAGUAGGAGGAGAGGAAUAACCCUGAUGGCAAUGAACUAACUCCUCUCUUGUAAGAAACAGAUGGCAGAGAAAUACUGCACAGUUCUGGACGUCCUCUGGAUUUUCAAACAAGUUCUGAUGCCGUGUUUGGUUGUUAUGAGAAGGCAGAAGGUCCUUUUUCACUGCCACCGGGAGCAUGCCAGUUUUAUCAAAGCUAUCCAGGGGUACCAGAGUGCCCUAUUGCAUUUUCCUGAUAGUUCAUCAAAGAUGGUAAGCAAAUAUCCAGUCUUCAGUAAGGCCUAAUCUAAAAACCAAUCAAGCUCCUUUACAGUAAUCACAACUGAAAUAAUGGAAGUCACUGUCCAAGACAAAAGCUGAAGAAGGCAUCCAGCCAUGAUAUCUGUUGGGUUUUCACUGAGAAGGGCAAGGAUACCUGCAUAGAAAAGACAGAUCUUGCUUACUGUUGGAGGUAGCUCUAUUUAAGGAAAAGCUGAAACAUUCCAGAAACAGGGAUACCAAGGAAGCAAGUGAACAAGCCAAACAGCAGUCCUUCAAGAUGGAGAGAAAAAAAACCUGAGAGAAAGUUCUUAUUCCUCCUAGCACGUAAGUUCCUCUGAAGAGGAAGCAGGUAUAAAGAGCAUGAAAUAAAGAGCAUGAAAUCUGAUCCUUGGAAACCUCACAAAUACAACUCUUGACCCAAUACAGAUUAUAAAGAGAGGCAUUAUAAUAUUGCUCACUGUGACACUUUUGAACAGUUAGAAUAAAAAGCUGUCUGGAAUUGUAAAACCAGAAAAGCAGUUACAACGUGAAAUUCUGUCACAGUGAAAAGAACUGGCUGUGACAUGAAGGAAUAUCACAGGCAAGAGGUGGACUAAGAGAACAAUUCACAGAUCUAUAGAAAUACUUCAGUUCCAUCAAUGAAUAUCUGAGGCCUGUUAGCUUGCAGGAACAAAGCUCCAGAGCACAAAAGUCAGCCAGACAGCUAUGGAAUAGACUUGAAGAGAUCCGUUUCAAGACUCUGAAUUUGGUUACUGAAUUUAUCAUCGAUGGAAAUUCCCAGGAUCACAGACUCUAGGCAGAAGGAAUAGAAAUUGCCAAGACACAAAUCAUGAAAACACUGGGAAGCUGGAAAGUCAAAACAAAAGGUGGUUACCUUUGUGGUUCACGUCUCAAAUGCAAAUAGUGAUGACAUCCUUCCUGAAUGAAGAAAAUAAGUUUAACACUAACUUGUUAAAUUCACCUCAAAGAACUUGUGGUAGAAAAAGGAGAACCUGAGAUAGGCAUUAGUGGAGAAUGAAAUGGUGAUUGCCAUUGGCAUUUUGGAACAAGUAGUGUACUGCAUACUGCGCUUCAACCAAGGACACACCCUGAAUUUCUAUACGUAAAUAACGCCAUGAUUAUUCUUCCUUUACAACUAACAACAUUUUGUAUGGCUUUUAUUCUAAAGCAAGCAACAGGCUUUUCAAUGGCUCAGGCAAAGUUGGAAGUCAGUUCUCCUAAAACAACAGAUGGGAUAGGGCUACUUCUGCCUGCCACAGAAAAGUGGGGAGUUGCAGUAGUGAGAUGUAGAGGAUCCAUGCUGCUAAUCUUGCUGCCUCCAGGGACUGAUUCUAGUCAACUAUCACAGCUGCUGGGACUGGGCAUUCUACCAAUAGUUUCCACUCCUACUUUAGGGGCAGCAGCAGCUUCAGUCAACCUGUCUUUCCCAGUCCUAAUAUGGAAAAAAAUUGGUGGGAGGGAGUGGGGAGUUAAUGCACUUCAUCUUCCCAGUAGCCUGCUACCUUAGGCAAUUUCUGCUUUGGCUAUGCUUACAGCAAGUCCACUUUGCUGCUGAAAGCUGAGGACUCAAUUUAACUUUGCUUCUUCUGCAUUCUUGGAAGAUUCAGCAGUGUCUACCAGCAUCCAUCUUCUGAGAGUCUGGAGUCUUUACAUGCAGAAAAUUCACCUUGUGUCAGUUUUAAUUGCGUCUCCAGAGACAUCGAUAUAAUGUAAUUCUCCCCAAAAACAAACCGUUUUCCUAUAAUGACCAAUAAUUUUUGUAACGUGCUCUCCAUAUUGUACUGUUCAAAUUCUUUAUGAAAAAGCUUUUGUGUUUUUACAUCAAAUUCUUGAUGUAAAUGGCUACUGUGAGAUUUUUCUAUAAGCUGGUGCAACAUGAGAGUUAGCAGUGUGCCAGGGUAGAGUCUGAAUAAUGUUUGAUCAGGAAGAGCUGUACAGUAAAUAAUAGAUUUAAAAACAGGAACAGCUUUGAAGUCUGUAUCGGCAGUCACUCAUUGUACAGUAACAUCAGAACAUGCAUUGCAUCAAUAUUGGCAGAUAAUACCAAAAUUUCAGUAAAUAUUUGUGUUUGAGGCUAGAGUUAUUAAAACUGUAUGCAGGUAUUUUUGUUACAGCUUUCCUGACAGAUUAUACCAUGGUUGGCUAAUUCAAGUAGUGUGGCUUGGAAUGUCAGAAAAAAAGAAAAAAUAAAAAAACAAGCAGUACAAUAAUUUUAUUCAACAUAAAAUCAUACCUUGGCUAUAAUAGCACUUUAUACCCAACUUCAUAGCCUACUUCAUUCCAUUAUUUUUAUUACAAAUGUCGGAAACUUUGCUAAGAGGAAAGAUGUUCAGCAAUGUUCUCUAAAGUUCAGCCCUCUUUUCCACUUGCAGAGUUUCACUGCACCCUCAUGAGAGUCACUUUGUGUUUCAGUGCUUUGGCUCCCAGGAUAUAAAAUAAUAACCUUGUGAUACCUAACAGAUCUGCUAUCUUAGCACAGCUCACUCUAGAUUCUGGUGCACUGCAGUGUUUCAGGAGAAAGAUGGUUUAUCUAUGUACAAUUUUGCAUUUACGUUUUCUCUUUCAAAUUUGUCUCUUGAACAUUUGUCCUUUCUUUUCCAGCUCUAACUUCCUGCAUUUAGUUUUGCUUCAUGUUAUGCUGUAUCUUCCAGUACAGUCUUCUUCACCUUCAGACACUUUCCUGCAUCAUGCAACUCUGAGGAGGUCUCUCUCUGUACUUGUUUCCUCUGCCAUUAUUACUUUUCCUAUACUACUACCAGGUUCUCUAAGAUUGAGGAUAGCUAUUUUCAAACUUCCCCAUACCUUUGCAUCUCCUUUCCUAUUAUUCUUUAUUUUCCUGUCUGUGUACGUCUUCCCCUUGUAAGAGAAUUUGCUCCCCUUACGGAGCCCUGCACCAUUAAGUAUUCACUGAUGAGGAGGUAGGGAGAUUUCAAGUACAAGCUGACAGAGAACUUCUAUUCAUGACACAUGCUGGCCUUUAGCUACGUGUAAAAUAUCACAGUGAAAGAACACAUCUGACAGAACUGAAGAGAUAAAUUCCAAAUGUGUAGACAUCAACAAUGGGACAUUUCCUGAUAAAUCAAAUUCGGAAUCUUCUGUCCCACAGAAUUUCACUCAUUUGCUGUUGGUGAAAAAGCAGUGGGUAUUGACAUUAUUAUGAAGAGCAUUAAGACAAACCUUUUAAAUGAUCUGGUGGACCAACUGGAGGUCUACUCUGUGCUUUCACUCCUCUAUUUUACUUUUUUUUUUUUUUCCUUGCCUUUAUGACUCAAACAAUACACCAAGCGAUUCAUGGUAGGGAUGGUAUGCACCUCGAAUAAACAGUUGACCAAUGAUCAGUGCAAAAAAGCUUCUAUCCUUGCAGAGGCCUUGAAGUUGCAACAGGUUUAACCACAGGAAGCUUCACAGGUUAAAUUGUACAUAUUGGCCCAACUAAGAAACAAACUCAAAGCUAUGUAAUACCUGGUUUGAGGGCUGAUUACAGUCCAGAUGCCAAUGGCUCCCAAUUGUUUUUUAACUUAUCCAGUGCAGUGGGCCUUGAAAGAGUGCUAAGUCAGAGCUGAGAAGUGCUGUUGUUUAACUUGAUUUCACUCAUGUGGGGGAUCUAGACCUUUCCUUUGAAUUCAGAAUUCUCAUUGUUAAUCCUUGUUUAAAAAAUAAUGGUUACAAAUUGGCCUUUCAGCAAAGAUCUCAGAAUCCCCUAGAAAUCCUAGAGUAACAACAGAUGUAGUAUUUAUAUGUAUGGUGAUAAGUAUAUUUAAAACUUUUAUAAUUGUUCAGUUCCAAAAUGAACCAUUAAAGUUGGACACAUGCAUACAUGCAGGUAUCCAUAUCUAAACCUCUAACUAUAUGUGAGUGUAAUUUUGCCUAAAUACACGUUAAUUCAUAGGAUAGAAUCAUUUUUUCCAUAGGUUGAAAAAAAAACCUCUAAGAUCCCCAAGUUCAACUGUCAACUCAUUAUGACCGUGCCCACUAAACCAUGGUCCUAAGUGCCACAUCUUCACGUUUCUUGAACACUUCCAAGGAUUGUGAUUCCACCAACUCCCUGGGCAGUCUGUUCCAAUGCCUCACCACUCUUUCAAAGAAGAGAUUUCUCCUAAUAUUCUACCUGAACCUUCCCUGGCACAACCUGAGGCCAUUUCCUCUCAUUCUAUCACUAUUACCGAGGGAAAGAGGCCAACAACCACUUCACUGUAACUUUCGUUCAGGUAGUUGUAGAGAGCAAUAUGGGCUCCUCUGAGCCUCCUCCAGAUUAGACAAUCCCAGUUCCCUCAGCUUCUUCUGUACUUCUUGUACUCCAGACCCCUCAUAGCUUUGCUGCCCUUCUCUGGACUUGUUUCCAGGACCUCACUGUUUUUGUUGUAGUGAGGGGCCCAAAACUGAACAUAGUACUCGAGGUGCAGCUUCGCCAUUGCCGAGUACAAAGGACAAAAUUAAAGCUACUGCAAAGCUACAGAACAGUUGGUUUAAGGGCUGGUCGAAGUUCAGGUGCCUAAGACUCAUCCCAUUUCUCUUCAGUGCAAGCUGCAUUGAAACCUUUAACGUUUCAAAAGUGAUUGUUUUGGUAUGAUCACUAUUUCUGUUGUUUAUAUAACUUCUCCCAAUCUGUUCUUUCCUCAUUGUAUUCUUUUUCCCUUAUCCAUUCAUGCUUGCACCAAUCUUUCCUUUCUCUGAUCGCUGUUUUCCAUGCUGCUUCCUUUUUAUUUCCCCCCAUGGUUUGAAUGUUAUGAUUAGUCCCUUCAUGUUUCAGUGCCCUUUCUGAGAUGACACAGGGAAAGCAAUUCAGAAAAAGAGCAAUAAUUAGUUGAAAUCUUUAACUGCAUACCAAAUGUCAGAUCAUUCCUUGGAGGAUGGCAGCUAACAUGAAAAGGAAAACUCCCCAAAGUUCUCUAAGUUCUCUGCUUUUUCUAGACCACUUCAAUAUACAGCGCAGUAAAGGAGAUUACUAGAAGUUCUUCUGAAAGUGGAAGUCAAUUCCCAACCAGAAAAAUAGAAAAGAAUAUCAACUCUGGCAAGUUAAAUUUAAUAAGCCCAGCCAAAGAAGAUUUUGAAGAGCAAUUUGCUAAAGGCAUGAAACUAAUAAUAAAAUGUUUUUUAAGCACAUCAGAAACAGGAAGUCAGCCAGAAAGUCUGUAGGGCUGAUAAGUAAUUGGGGUACGAAAGGAGAGCUGAAAUAAGACUGUACACCAGCAAAGCGAGAAGAAUUCUAUAUAUAGGUGUUCAGAAGAACUUUUGGAGGUUCCUGUGCCAAAGCCUUUCUUUAAAGGCUACGUCUACAUCUGAAAACACAGAUGGAAAAUAGGUUGAGAUUACAAAAAACAAAACAAAACAAACAAACAAACAAAAAAACAAAUAAUAAUAAUAAAAAACCCAGAACCAUCCCAACUCAGCAUCUCACAGAUUUUGCUACCUAUCAAUGUUUCACAUUUCCUGGGGCCUAACCGUGCCUCCUUUGCAACUCACAGUACUGACAAAUUCAAACAUUCCAGUUUGUAAGCCCCAAAUCAUGAAUUUGUGAGAUGUGCAAUUACUAUUUCUUUCACUUUGUUCGUAGAAGACAAGUAAGAAGGAGAAUAUAGGUUUUUUGGUCUCACUUGUCACUAAGAGAAGUCGAAUUAGUUUGACAGGUAAAAAUAUAAAUGAAGAACUCCCACAUUAAAAACCUAUCAGAAUUAAAUUCACAUAUGUUUGUGAAAGUCUGGACAAAUUCCAGAAGCCAACAGCAUUUUACUUUUUCUUUGACAUGCAUAGUAGCCUCAUGAAAAUGCCAUGUAAUUAACUUAGUAUAAAAGGGAUAAAACGGUGAAGAGAACAACAAAGAUAAUUUGUCAUCAUGAUUUUCAUUAAAAAACCCACAGUAUUACAGGAAUUAAUUUCAGCAGUACUUUGCCCUGAUUACUGCCUGUCAGAUAGUAUAUGGGAAUCCAACAGGAUAUUUGAAUGGAGAAUGUUUGCAGAAUCUCAUCCAGCAUCUGCAGUAGGAAAACCUUGUAGAUGUUCACUAAAUGGCAUUACAUCACAUAUGCGCACAAACCUUACUGGCCAUGAAAAGAGAGAACCAAGUCUGGCUUCAGAUUCUGAAUUUUCCAACCGUCUGUAUAGCACUUAGCUCAUGUUCUUAUCCAGCCUUCACAUUUUUAUAUUUUCAAAAGGUUUGUCCUGUCAAGCAGACCUCUUUGGAGUUUGCAACACAUUUUAAUGUAAUGUCUAAACACUAAUCCACUAGCAUACUAGAGUGGCACUUUUUAUUACUUUAAAUAACCUCUUAGCCUACUGAUGCCUCUCUCAAUAUCCUGUGUUUCCACACACAGUUGAUGAAUAGAAUUAUUUGAGCUAAUCUGUGCUGUCCUUUAUUUCAGAUGGUACUUCUUGCAUGAUUAGCAAAGGACGCAUGGCUUAGAGAAGGGAAACAUAAAAUGCAAGGCAUGAUAUAAAUUUCAGUUUCUGUAACAUUUUUCCUUCAAGUUAUGUAAAAGUGUUUUUAUAAACAAUUUUACCUUAAGCUUAAGUGUGUCACUGUAGGAUUACUAUAGCAUUAUAGUAAUUACUCUGGGCAUUUUUGGCCAAAGCAAUGCAGUAUUUCAACGUAACACAUGUGAAAGCUGUGUUGGUUUGCUGUUUUUCCAUCUAUUCACAGCUUCCUUAAGAGCUAUCCCAGCACACAACAGGUAUGGGGUUCAAACCUGCUUUGCUUGCAUCAUUGGAAAUAAUCACAUUAUGAGAUGACACACACAUUUGUUUGGCUCUAAGGAAAUG